rnacentral:rRNA from 1 species
AACGAACGCUGGCGGCAUGCCUAACACAUGCAAGUCGAACGAUGCCUUCGGGCAUAGUGGCGCACGGGUGCGUAACGCGUGGGAAUCUGCCCUUGGGUUCGGAAUAACUCAGAGAAAUUUGAGCUAAUACCGGAUGAUGACGUAAGUCCAAAGAUUUAUCGCCCAAGGAUGAGCCCGCGUAAGAUUAGCUAGUUGGUGGGGUAAAGGCCUACCAAGGCGACAAUCUUUAGCUGGUCUGAGAGGAUGAUCAGCCACACUGGGACUGAGACACGGCCCAGACUCCUACGGGAGGCAGCAGUGGGGAAUAUUGGACAAUGGGCGAAAGCCUGAUCCAGCAAUGCCGCGUGAGUGAUGAAGGCCUUAGGGUUGUAAAGCUCUUUUACCAGGGAUGAUAAUGACAGUACCUGGAGAAUAAGCUCCGGCUAACUCCGUGCCAGCAGCCGCGGUAAAGUCUGUACU